AACGAACGCUGGCGGCAUGCCUAACACAUGCAAGUCGAACGAGAUCUUCGGGUCUAGUGGCGCACGGGUGCGUAACGCGUGGGAAUCUGCCCUUUGGUUCGGAAUAACAGUUGGAAACGACUGCUAAUUCCGGAUGAUGACGAAAGUCCAAAGAUUUAUCGCCAGAGGAUGAGCCCGCGUAGGAUUAGCUAGUUGGUGUGGUAAAGGCGCACCAAGGCGACGAUCCUAAGCUGGUCUGAGAGGAUGAUCAGCCACACUGGGACUGAGACACGGCCCAGACUCCUACGGGAGGCAGCAGUGGGGAAUAUUGGACAAUGGGCGAAAGCCUGAUCCAGCAGUGCCGCGUGAGUGAUGAAGGCCUUAGGGUUGUAAAGCUCUUUUACCCGGGAUGAUAAUGACAGUACCGGGAGAAUAAGCUCCGGCUAACUCCGUGCCAGCAGCCGCCGUAA
rnacentral:rRNA from 1 species